CACCUCACAAACCCCAACUACAGGUAAUACACACCUACUAAACUCCAACUACAGGUAAUACACACCUCACAAACCCCAACUACAGGUAAUACACACCUCACAAACCCCAACUACAGGUAAUACACACCUCACAAACCCCAACUACAGGUAAUACACACCUCACAAACCCCAACUACAGGUAAUACACACCUCACAAACCCCAACUACAGGUAAUACACACCUCACAAACCCCAACUACAGGUAAUACACACCUCACAAACCCCAACUACAGGUAAUACACACCCCCUAAACUCCAACUACAGGUAAUACACACCCCCUAAACUCCAACUACAGGUAAUACACACCUACUAAACUCCAACUACAGGUAAUACACACCUCACAAACCCCAACUACAGGUAAUACACACCUACUAAACUCCAACUACAGGUAAUACAUACUUUCAGGUAACAGAUACCAUAUCAACUCCAACUACAGGUAAUACACCCUAUUUAAACAUCAAACACAGAAAAAACACGAAUGAAAAUGGCUGAUAUAGUUAAUUUAUU